CCAGGGGAGCUCAGGUGCAAGCAAUGUACUUGAGUGACCAGAAGGGCUGCAGCCAUGAUCCACCCCUUCCCAGAUCUCAUCUAAGGGUUGGCAGUGGAGGUGCGUGCAUCUCUCUGGGAAUUCUCAUGUAUUUGAGGCUUUUUGAAGACUCAAACAAGGAACUGCAAAAACAUAGAAAAUGUGGAAAUUAGACUAUCUUGUUGUAGAUGCAUGCUCGGGACUGCUAUGGCUUAAGGUAGAAUGUUUGUUUGUGCCUUUCUGAAUCCACAAGAUUCUUCAGUUACUGUGAGAUGUGCUUGGACUACAGAGCUUUAAUCCAGAGUAGAAUUCAGAUGCAAACUAGUAACAUGCUUCACGUGCAGUUCCAUCUUAAGAUAGAAUAUGGUCUCUCCUCAAAAAGAGGAGAAAAGCACAACCAAAUAUUUGCAGUUUCCCAGAGUUUCAGGUUCAGCUCAAGGCUUCAGCAAAGACUUUGGGUCAUUUUAUCCAAAUCUAUCUGCCCAGCCCUAAUUGCAACAGCACAUAUGGAAAUGCUACAGUGAAGUCCUUGCCAGCACUUUCAUUAUAAACCCUCCUGGUUUGAGUGUUUUGUAACUCUUCCUGAAGGGAAAAAAAAAAGAAAAAAGAAAAAAGAAAAAAAAAAAAAAGGCAACAGAAAGGGAUGAAACUUGAUAUAAAAGGUUUUCAGCUGGGGAGCAGUUUUUUGUGUUGCAAUAUUUCAUGGAAAUCUAAUCAAAGCAUUUUGAAAAUCAGAAAAGAAAUUGGAGGAAAAAAACGGGGGUGGGAACACAAUAUUUGUUUUAUUUUUCUUAUUUUAUUGUUUGUUUGAAGCACGUAGGAAAAAAUAUUGCAGAUUUAAACCACUUCUAAACUCUGAACUGUGGCCUGAUUUGGAUUAAAUGUUUUGGAUGAUUCCAUCAAAGAAUUGCAAUAAUACCAAAGGAAAAGAAUAUUUGUCCAUUACACCUGUUUGGAAAUUGCUAUGAAGGACAAGAAAUAUCUGCAAGGCAGUGAAAGAACACCUGGAAAUUCUAGAUACAUUUGGUCCUGUACUGCUUAAUGAAGUAUAUGGGUUUGCAUGGAAGUAACACCUGACAGGAAUCCCUCCUUAGAUUAAACUCUGGUUUUGAAGAGAAUCGCUCAGGUCUCAUCCUUCUUGAGUUUUAUUCCAAAGCUUCUGGCAGAGUGUAGCUCCCAGUCAUUCACAUGAAAGCAAAGCAAAACUUGCUUAUCAUUGGUGUGCACAGUUUGGGACAGAUGCUGAAGUUAAGCUAAACACAGCCAUCUAUCAGUAGGUCUGUAAGGUUACGUGAUAGGUAAUGGAGGUCUACCCCACAGGAAAGAUUUGGCUAGCCAAUAUGCAUCCAGAGGCUGUUAAACAGGAUGCAGGAUUUCUGGACAAACAGCAUGACUGGUGUAUUUUUGAAUACCUUAGGUGAUGCUGAGAAGCUGAAUCCUACAAAACACAUAGACAUAGUAGGAGCUGAAGAACCUACCUGAUUCCAUUGGGUGUGCUCCGCAUCAACUCAGUGUCCUAUAACUACAGAGAGAGUUCAGACAUUAUGUCUAGACAGAUCAAAGGUUCAACAGUUCCCCAUCCAGCACAUUGCACCGGUAGCCAUAUACCCUAGGAAUACUUUUCAUCUUCUGAUCUCAAAAAGCAUUAGAAAGGAGUGAAGUAUCUUGCUUGUACUCAUGAUCCAAGUAUAGUAUGCAUUAAACAUACUUGAGAAAGUUAUUACUGCAGCUGGCCCUUAAAACGUUAAUCAGUUGGAACUCUGCUCAAACCACUUGGACGUAUAUCUGAAUUGCUGCAUUGUACCAAGUCGUAGGGCACAAUCUAACUCAGUGUCUGAAGAUAAGUGACAUCAGAUCUUAUCUGCAAGUGACCCUCUCAGUCAAUUUUGAAGAGUCUCAGGAGAUGGACUCUACCAGGAAUUCAACUUGAUGAUUCUUGUGGGCCCCUUCCAACUCAGGGUAUUUUAUGAUGAUUUGAAGACAGCCCGUCUGACAGCGGGCAUGUUAUAAACAUUCCCUAUUUCUUCCCUCUAUGGUUGACUGGAUGCACAUGGACUGUAAUAGAAGUUUGGAUGCAUGUAAUCACUAAAUCUGAGUGUCUUAGUCUGGAGCUUAUUAAAGUCAGUCAUCUUGUUGAGAUGACUUCCAAUCCUCACCAACAGUAUCCAACAGCUUAUGCUGAAUGUCUUCAUCCUCUUUGACUGUGAGCUGAACUGUGUUGCAUUAUACCACAUUUGCAACAAAUACAGACAACUGUGACAUCUCAGCUGGCACACAGUAGCUUGCAAAAGCAUGGUAACUUGUUUGUGUCCCUGAGCUAUAACUCUGAAAUAGUUCAGAUGCAAACAUGCAGUUUGCAUUCUAGCUAAAUCAAGGACAAAGGCACUUAAAUCCUAAUGUAGAUUGAUGCGAAUUUGAUGGAAGAGGAUAGCUUUUAUUACAGCUCCUUAAGCCUGUCUCCAAUCUAGAUGGAGUUAAACGCAUUGUGGGAACAUGCUGGGACUUGUUUUCAUUACAAAUAGAGCCUGGCUAAAAUCAGAAUUUUUUUCACACAUUUGUACUUGUUUGAACAGAAAUGGAAACUGUAGACUUGAUGAGUACAACUGCACAGGUGCAAAAUUAUUCCCUUCUGGAAUACUAGGCACCUUUGUCCAAGAAAAUAAGCAUGAUGCGGAGAAGAGCAACUGGGACCAUCUUUGGAAUGUGGAAAUUCAUAUAUGAGACAAGAGGCUUGUUUUAACUAUCAGAACAGAAGCUGAAAGAUGAUAUGGCUAUUGAAACUACAGGACGUUUUUGGCAUAAGGACAAAUGUGUAUUAACUGGUCAUGAAUAAAUUUCGAAGAGACAUUAGAAGAUGGUUUCAAACUGUCAGAAGAGUGAGGUUUUGAAGUCAGCUUUCCCAUAGGAGUAGUUAUGGCAAGAAACCUAACCACUUUUAUGAAGGAGCACACUAAAUUUAUGAACAGAUUAUGUUACGUGGGAGGCUGAGGUAGCAUGUGGCUGGAUUUGAUGAUCCACAAGAUUCCUUUCAGGCUACUUAAGAGAAAAUCUUAGAGUUUAAUUUUCAACUGCCCUUUAUGCUUUCUCUGUAUAACCAUAAAGGCAGGAAUAUUCUUACUUUGCACCUACAACUUUUGUGCUAUUACCAUCUUAAAUAAACAAUUAUGUGAUUGGAAACUACAGAAAUAGUUGAAGCUGUGAUAUUACAGACUCAAAAGUGAACAGAUACGGUAAAAGAAGUCUUAUAAAAAACCUGACCAAUGUGCCACACUUACAUGAAAUAUGUGAAGAAAGAGUACAAGAAUUAAUGCACAACUCAAGGCAUGUCUGUGAUACGCAAAGCAGCACAGAAGAGUAACAUCUGGGAAAGAAUCAAACAAACUCAUUCCAGAAAUGAAGCUGUUACAGCUGCAUUAGCCCAGGGUUGAGCCCAGGACAGCUGGCUAGCUGAGAGGCAGAGCUAGUCAUCCUGGGAUGAAAUCCAGUCCACUGAAAUCCCACUUUUUUCACAGACAGCAAAUCAGUCCACAUAUUUUUCUGAACUGCUCAUUAUAAAUCUCUCUAAAUUCAUUAAAGAUGCCUUUAUUUCAUGGGAGGCAUUUUCCAGGUUUUUCCCUUAAACGUGUGAGUCAAAGUUUGCUGUGAUCAAAGUUCUAAUCCAGAUCCUGUACCAUUUUGUCCCUGCUUAAUUCUUCUAGAAAGGUCUUUAAAGUUAAGAGUUAGUGAGAACAAGAAUGUGACUCUAGCCAUUUUCUUCCUAGGAGCUCAAAAGCUAUAGAAACUGGAAGAUACUGUCUGCAAGGAAAGGGGGCUCAGAUUUUACGCAAUGCUUGCAUUGCAACACCACGUUGAUUUUUGUCUGGUCAGUUCUGGAGCCAAGCAUACAGGAGAUAGAAAAGUCAAAAAAAAAAGACAAGAAUCUAGAGAGGAAGAACAGGACCAUUGGUUCCUGCUCCUUGUAAUAUCAUGUGUCUGGUGUAUUCCUGAAAGCAUGUAGUUUAUCUUCACGGGGGAAAGGGAGCCCACCAUAUGCUUGGCCUUGACUUUAUGUUCAGAGAACUCCUGUAGGCAAAAGAGAACGAAACUCCCUUGAGACUGUGUAGAACCCAGGACCAGGAUUUUGGGGAGACCCUCAGAUAUGAGGUCAUUAUUAUAUAAAAUCUGAUCCCGUGACUCCUCCUCACUUCAUAUUUUGUGUUCACCAUGACAGCGGGGGUCUGGAUUCCACACUGAUGUCAUCACCUACAGUUUGCUUCUACUUUGCACUCUCAGGGAAGAUACAUGGCUAAGAAGAGUGGGUCUUUAGAAGUAUUUAUCUCUCUCCAAUAGCUGUGCACUGACCACUAUAACUAAGUGGUCUCCACUUACAUGUCCCCCAUUCCGACUUACAACUUUGACAGAAAUCCGCUCAGAGAAACAGGUUGAGUAACAAGAAUGUUUACAUCUGU